rnacentral:rRNA from 1 species
AGACCCGAAACCCGGUGAUCUAGCCAUGGGCAGGUUGAAGGUUGGGUAACACUAACUGGAGGACCGAACCGACUAAUGUUGAAAAAUUAGCGGAUGACCUGUGGCUGGGGGUGAAAGGCCAAUCAAACCGGGAGAUAGCUGGUUCUCCCCGAAAGCUAUUUAGGUAGCGCCUCGUGAAUUCAUCUCCGGGGGUAGAGCACUGUUUCGGCUAGGGGGCCAUCCCGGCUUACCAACCCGAUGCAAACUGCGAAUACCGGAGAAUGUUAUCACGGGAGACACACGGCGGGUGCUAACGUCCGUCGUGAAGAGGGAAACAACCCAGACCGCCAGCUAAGGUCCCAAAGUCAUGGUUAAGUGGGAAACGAUGUGGGAAGGCCCAGACAGCCAGGAUGUUGGCUUAGAAGCAGCCAUCAUUUAAAGAAAGCGUAAUAGCUCACUGGUCGAGUCGGCCUGCGCGGAAGAUGUAACGGGGCUAAACCAUGCACCGAAGCUGCGGCAGCGAACGUAUCACCCAAGACAACUUUACGGAGUUGACGAUUGACGGAGCGAAGCGACGUCAAAGCGUUCAUUAAAGUCAAGUUGGCUUAGGGAUACGUUCGUUGGGUAGGGGAGCGUUCUGUAAGCCUGUGAAGGUGUGUCGUGAGGCAUGCUGGAGGUAUCAGAAGUGCGAAUGCUGACAUAAGUAACGAUAAAGCGGGUGAAAAGCCCGCUCGCCGGAAGACCAAGGGUUCCUGUCCAACGUUAAUCGGGGCAGGGUGAGUCGACCCCUAAGGCGAGGCCGAAAGGCGUAGUCGAUGGGAAACGGGUUAAUAUUCCCGUACUUGGUGUUACUGCGAAGGGGGGACGGAGAAGGCUAUGUUGGCCGGGCGACGGUUGUCCCGGUUUAAGCGUGUAGGUGUGUGUUCCAGGUAAAUCCGGUUCACUUUAACAC